UUUUCUCUAUUGUGUUGUUGAAGGCUUUCAUGGCGGGAAUCACUGGGUUGCUGUGAGUUUUCCGGGCUGUAUGGCCAUGUUCCGGAAGAAUUCUCUCCUGGCGUUCCGCCGACAUCUAUGGCAGGCAUCCUCAGAAGUUAGUCAUCUCCAACUCUUCGUGACCUCAUGGACCAGUCCACGCCAGAGCUCCCUGCUGCCCCCAGUUCCUUCAAGGUCAAGCCAGUCACUUCAAGGAUACCGUCCAUCCAUCUCGCCCUUGGUCGGCCUCUCUUCCUUUUUCCUUUCAUUUCCCCCAGUAUUCACAAGAAAUUGCUAUUUCUUUCUUGUAGGAGGGAAUUUCCAAUAAAAGUUUCUUAAAACAGA